rnacentral:rRNA from 1 species
GAUGAACGCUGGCGGCGUGCCUAAUACAUGCAAGUCGAGCGAAUAGAUGAGGAGCUUGCUCCUCUGACGUUAGCGGCGGACGGGUGAGUAACACGUGGAUAACCUACCUAUAAGACUGGGAUAACUUCGGGAAACCGGAGCUAAUACCGGAUAAUAUAUUGAACCGCAUGGUUCAAUAGUGAAAGACGGUUUUGCUGUCACUUAUAGAUGGAUCCGCGCCGCAUUAGCUAGUUGGUAAGGUAAUGGCUUACCAAGGCAACGAUGCGUAGCCGACCUGAGAGGGUGAUCGGCCACACUGGAACUGAGACACGGUCCAGACUCCUACGGGAGGCAGCAGUAGGGAAUCUUCCGCAAUGGGCGAAAGCCUGACGGAGCAACGCCGCGUGAGUGAUGAAGGUCUUCGGAUCGUAAAACUCUGUUAUUAGGGAAGAACAAAUGUGUAAGUAACUAUGCACGUCUUGACGGUACCUAAUCAGAAAGCCACGGCUAACUACGUG